GUUGUAUGGUUAAGUGACUAAGCGUACACGGUGGAUGCCUUGGCAGUCAGAGGCGAUGAAGGACGUAUUAACUUGCGAUAAGCCCAGAUUAGGCAGUAAAAGCCACUUGAGUCUGGGAUUUCCGAAUGGGGAAACCCACUAGCAUAAGCUAGUAUCAUUAACUGAAUACAUAGGUUAAUGAAGCGAACCGGGGGAACUGAAACAUCUAAGUACCCCGAGGAAGAGAAAUCAACCGAGAUUCCGGUAGUAGCGGCGAGCGAAACCGGAUUAGCCCUUA
rnacentral:rRNA from 1 species